AUCCAUUUGUAGUUCACGAGUGUGAUGAUUGGGUUUUCGCACACCUGUGUAACAUGUGCCUCCCGCAAGCCUUGUUACAUCAGCACAUUACCCUUCUAACA